UACAGAGGUCCCAAGCGUUGUUCGGAUUCACUGGGCGUAAAGGGUGCGUAGGCGGUCGGGUAAGUCCGACGUGAAAUCUUCAAGCUCAACUUGGAAACUGCGUCGGAUACUAUUCGGCUAGAGGAAUGGAGGGGAGACUGGAAUACUUGGUGUAGCAGUGAAAUGCGUAGAUAUCAAGUGGAACACCAGUGGCGAAGGCGAGUCUCUGGACAUUUCCUGACGCUGAGGCACGAAAGCCAGGGGAGCAAACGGG
rnacentral:rRNA from 1 species